rnacentral:rRNA from 1 species
UACGGAGGGUGCGAGCGUUGUUCGGAAUCACUGGGCGUAAAGCGCGCGUAGGCGGCUUCCUAAGUCUGAUGUGAAAGCCCGGGGCUCACCCCCGGAAGUGCAUUGGAAACUGGUGGACUCGAGUCCCGGAGAGGAGAGUGGAAUUCCUGGUGUAGCGGUGAAAUGCGUAGAUAUCAGGAGGAACACCGGUGGCGAAAGCAGCUCUCUGGGCGGGGACUGACGCUGAGACGCGAAAGCGUGGGGAGCAAACAGG